UGGCCACAUGUUGACUCAGUGGCGCUUCUCCAUGCGGGAGGGACGUACACUCUGUAAACAGGAAUGGAAAGCUAAAGUUAACUAGUUAGUCACAGAUAUGUACGUUCAGCCUGUUAAUUAUUUCAGUCCGAGUUGUCUUAUCUUACGAAGUCAGCAUGGCUUAACAUAGUUCAUUUAGUUUUUGACCUCGACAUUGUUGCUGGAAAGAUACUUUCUUAACUAACAUGCUGGCGCUGCUAGCUAGCUAAUGCUAACGGCGCUAGCUAACCUCAUAUCUGGAUGCUUCACUCUAGUUCCCGAGAGAGCAGCAUACUGAUCUGCCCACCUGCUCAGUGGGUGACAGGUCUUUCCACCAAGCUGUUCCAGGCCUGGAGUGGCAUGCUGGAACUUCCAGAGGCUUCUACACCUGAAGCAUUGUGAUGUGGUCCAGAUCUGCCAGCCCCAGCAGUUCAGCUGCAGUCUCAGCAGUCCUCUGCUGUGGUCUUUCAUUUACCGGCUGCACCAGUUCCUACUACACUGGCCGUGAAGGGAGGAACUGUUGAGGAGACCCAGAUGGAUACAGAUCUGCCUGACAGCCUCACCCAGAAGACACUGGGCCUAUCAAGACUGACAAAGCAGAGAUGGGUGGCUGACAAGGAAAAAUAAAACACAACACACACAUUAUCCACAAUGUAAAUACAUUGUAAUUACUUGUUUAUUUCAUGUUUGCUGCAUUUUAUUUGAGGAUUGGAGAGAUCUACUCCUUCAUAUCCAUUCUUAAUAUCUACAUAAUUACUCUCCAUAUCUAUCAAAUCAAAGGGGGAUUGAUAAUAUUGUAAAAGACUAUGGCUUAAUGUUUACAGUUUGAGGAAAUUGUGUGUGCUUUUUUUCUAAGUUGAAGAACAUGCCUCUCUCAACACAGACACACAUUCGACCCAAUGUAAAUACAUGGUUUAUUUUAUCUCUGCUCCAUUUUAUUUGGAGAUUGUGUGAAAUAAAAUAUAUUCACAGCUAAA